rnacentral:misc_RNA from 1 species
CAUUGCAUGUAAAUAGGCAGGUGAAGUUCCUGCCUAUUUAACCAGUUCUAAAUAGGCAGGUGGAGUUCCUGUCUGAUAUUUAAAGAAGACGGGCCAACGACGAUUAUAGAGUAAUUAUACAAACCGAGAACACAUGCCAUAACCCCUAAAGCUUCUAUCCCAUGACUCAGCUUCCCAUUGGUUAAUAUAUUAAAAUAUCUAAGCGUAACAAUCACGCGCCUCCAACUUCCUGUGGCAGUUCCCCACCCUUUCUUGCACGUUCAGCUCGG